AACGAACGCUGGCGGCGCGCCUAAUACAUGCAAGUCGAGCGAGAAGACGUAGCAAUACGUUUGUAAAGCGGCGAACGGGUGAGGAAUACAUGGGUAACCUACCCUCGAGUGGGGAAUAACUAGCCGAAAGGUUAGCUAAUACCGCGUACGCUCCUCGGACUUCGGUUCAGGGAGGAAAGCGAUACCGUGGGUAUCGCGCUCUUGGAUGGGCUCAUGUCCUAUCAGCUUGUUGGUGAGGUAACGGCUCACCAAGGCUUCGACGGGUAGCUGGUCUGAGAGGACGAUCAGCCACACUGGCACUGCGACACGGGCCAGACUCCGUACGGGAGGCAGCAGUAAGGAAUAUUGCGCAAUGGGCGAAAGCCCGA
rnacentral:rRNA from 1 species